UACAGAGACUGCAAGCGUUAUUCGGAUUCACUGGGCGUAAAGGGUGCGCAGGCGGCCGUGUGUGUGAGGCGUGAAAGCCCGAUGCUUAACAUCGGAAUUGCACCUCAAACUACACGGCUAGAGCAUUGGAGAGGGUAGCGGAAUUCACGGUGUAGCAGUGAAAUGCGUAGAUAUCUGGAGGAAUACCGGUGGCGAAGGCGGCAUCCUGGACCGACAUUGACGCUGAGGAGCGAAAGCCAGGGGAGCAAACGGGG
rnacentral:rRNA from 1 species